AAUUGUCUGGGCCUUAGUUUCAUCAUCCUGAAGUUGGGGAUGAUAAUAUGAGAGCAUAAUUAACGUGAAGGCUUUGGACCAAGGCAAACUGUUUGUGUCCGACCAGGAUUCUAUGCGUUAUUGCAAGAAAUUCAAAGAAGAUAAAUUGCCCAAAACCUGAUUACUAAUAAAUAAGUAAUUGGAUCUGAUGUCAAAACGUGACCUGUAUGAGGC